rnacentral:rRNA from 1 species
UACAGAGGGUGCAAGCGUUAAUCGGAAUUACUGGGCGUAAAGCGUGCGCAGACGGUUGCGUAAGUCAGAUGUGAAAGCCCCGGGCUCAACCUGGGAAUUGCAUUUGAGACUGCGUAGCUAGGGUGCGGAAGAGGGAAGCGGAAUUUCCGGUGUAGCGGUGAAAUGCGUAGAUAUCGGAAGGAACACCAGUGGCGAAGGCGGCUCACUGGACCGGUACUGACGCUGAUGCGCGAAAGCGUGGGGAGCAAACGGG